rnacentral:misc_RNA from 1 species
GAUGAAGAACGUAGCGAAAUGCGAUACGUAAUGUGAAUUGCAGAAUUCAGUGAAUCAUCGAGUCUUUGAACGCACAUUGCGCCCUCUGGUAUUCCGGAGGGCAUGCCUGUCCGAGCGUCAUUGCUGCCCUCAAGCACGGCUUGUGUGUUGGGCCCCGCCCCCCGAUCCCGGGGGGCGGGCCCGAAAGGCAGCGGCGGCACCGCGUCCGGUCCUCGAGCGUAUGGGGCUUUGUCACCCGCUCUGUAGGCCCGGCCGGCGCUUGCCGAUCAACCAAACUUUUUUCCAGGUUGACCUCGGAUCAGGUAGGGAUACCCGCUGAACUUAAGCAUAUCAAUAAGCGGAGGA